UGCGUCGCAACCAUAGACAUGCGACGCAAAUGAAAAAUUUUAGCUUUAAUUUUAGUCAUUUGCGUCGCAGUAUUACUAAACUGCGAGGCAAAUGACUUUAUAAUGUUCUUAAAGUCAUUUGCGUCGCAGAUUAGUAGAGAUGCGACGCAAUUGAGUCACUCAUUUGCCUCGCAAUAUUACUAAACUGCGAGGCAAAUGACUUUAAAAACCUCUUAAAGUUAUUUGCAUCGCAGUUUAGUAAUACUGCGAGGCAAAUGAAUUUGAAACUUUUCAGAAUUUGGUUUGGCACUCACCUAGCUAUUCUCACUUUGCUCUAACCUAAAUCGAAUGUCUGCUUCUCCUUUCACUGCCUUGUCCUCCUAGCCCGCUUCCUUCCUUGGUCCAACUUCUCACUGCACCCAGGCCAACUGCGACGGCCGUUCUUCCUCCGGCAAGCAUACUCGUCCUCCGGCCUCUUCUCCCUGCGCGCUGAACCUCGUCUCCUCCUGCGCAGUGGUUGUCCUCUUCUCUGUCGUUCUCACUGCCGCCGCAUCUCCUCGCUGCACACUGUCGUCGCGGCUAACAGCCGCCGCUGCUCUCACAGCCGCCGCGGCUCUCACAUCCGUCGCAGCUCACAACCCCUGCACACCGCCCCUGCACACCUCCCUUACUACCACCGCCCCCUGCACGCCGUCCCUGCUCACAGCCACCGCCCCCUGUGUCGUCUGUCCUCUCUUCAAUAAUUAAUUAGGUAUUAUUUACAUUUAAGAUUGAAUUUUAAUCUUGAUAUUAUUUAGUUGAAUUUUAAUUGUGCAAUUUAAUUAUUAUUGUGGAUAUUUUGAUUGAAUUUUAGUUGUUCAUUUUAGUUGAAUUUUAAGAUUGAAUUAUGAAAGGUGCACACCCGAAAAUAGAAGAACCGGAACAUGGAUAUUGAUGACAGGCAAUAUCUGUCGAAGGAUUGAAGAAUUCCCUACAGACAGACUACAUACAAAAAAUUCUUGGUCUAGGUAUCUGUGCUGACACAAUGAUUGGUGAUGCUAUGAGGAGAGGCAUCUCAGGUGGUCAAAAGAAAAGAUUGACUACAGGUGAGAUGAUUGUUGGGCCGAUUAAGGCGUUCUUUAUGGAUGAAAUUACGAAUGGCUUGGACAGUUCUACUUCAUUUCAGAUUGUUUCAUGUGUUCAACAGUUGGUCCAUGUAACAGAUGCAUCUGCAUUGAUUUUUUUGAGAGCUGUGGUUUUAGGUGUCCUAAGAGGAAGGGAAUAGCUGACUUUCUACAGGAGUUGGUCAUUUUAGCUCUGUAAAAAUGACUGUAUAUAUGCGUACUCGGAUGCAUGUGGACAUUCUUCUUGCUAAUUAUUAUUUGAACGCCCUGUUCUAUGGUCUUAUCGUGCUUCUUACUGACUGAUUUCCAGAAGUGUCUGACUAUCAUGAGACUUCCUGUUUUCUUCAAAAACGUUGUAACUAAAAUAUUAAAAAACGAAUU